UCACUAGUACGGCGCAGUGUGCUGGAAUCGCCCUUAGAGUUUGAUCCUGGCUCAGGAUGAACGCUGGCGGCGUGCCUAAUACAUGCAAGUCGAACGAAGGUACUUGUACCUAUAGUGGCGAACGGGUGAGUAACACGUAGGUAACCUGCCCUCAAGACGAGGAUAACCAUUGGAAACGAUGGCUAAUACUGGAUAGUUAUUAUAGAGGCAUCUCUGUAAUAUUAAAGGACCACUGGUAUACUUGAGGAUGGACCUGCGGCGCAUUAGUUAGUUGGUGAGGUAACGGCUCACCAGGACAAUGAUGCGUAGCCGGACUGAGAGGUUGAUCGGCCACAUUGGGACUGAGACACGGCCCAAACUCCUACGGGAGGCAGCAGUAGGGAAUUUUCGGCAAUGGAGGAAACUCUGACCGAGCAACGCCGCGUGAAUGAAGACAUAUUUCGGGAUGUAAAGUUCUUUUAUCAGGGAAGAAUGACCCGUGGAAGAACGGGUGUGACGGUACCUGAUGAAUAAGCCCCGGCUAACUAUGUGCCAGCAGCCGCGGUAAUACAUAGGGGGCAAGCGUUAUCCGGAAUUA
rnacentral:rRNA from 1 species